rnacentral:tRNA from 13 species
GCGCAUUGGUGAAGCGGCCAAACACAUCGCCCUUUUACGGCGACAACCGCGGGUUCGAUUCCCGCCAUCCACU